rnacentral:rRNA from 1 species
CCUACGGGAGGCAGCAGUGAGGAAUAUUGGUCAAUGGGCGCGAGCCUGAACCAGCCAAGCAGCGUGAAGGAAGACUGCUCUACGGGUUGUAAACUUCUUUUAUAAAGGAAUAAAGUGAGGCACGCGUGCCUUUUUGUAAGUACUUUAUGAAUAAGGAUCGGCUAACUCCGUGCCAGCAGCCGCGGUAAUACGGAGGAUUCGAGCGUUAUCCGGAUUUAUUGGGUUUAAAGGGUGCGUAGAUGGGUUGAUAAGUCAGUUGUGAAAGUUUGCGGCUCAACCGUGAAAUUGCAGUUGAUACUGGCAGUCUAGAGUACAGUAGAGGUAGGCGGGAUUUGUGGUGUAGCGGUGAAAUGCUUAGAGAUCACAAAGAACUCCGAUUGCGAAGGCAGUUCACUAAACUACAACUGACGCUGAGGCUCGAAAGUGUGGGUAGCAAACAGGAUUAGAUACCCGAGUAGUC